AAUCAGACUAGAGACCGGAGAAGUAUUCCCUGCUAGAUUUGCGGAUCAUGGACCAGAUCCUGAUAUUAGGGCUCUUGGUCACUGGUUUCAAUAUGAAGGUGUUCUGAACCUUUAUGAUAACAAGACGUCAACACUUUUCAUUCCUCAUUUCAACUUCACUCCAGAUAGGAAAAU